rnacentral:tRNA from 1 species
AAUUCAAUAGCUUAAGAAAAUUAGAGUUUAGUUUUGAAGAAACUGCGGUAAAGUUAUUUUUGGAUUG